rnacentral:rRNA from 1 species
AUUGAACGCUGGCGGCAUGCCUUACACAUGCAAGUCGAACGGUAACAGGGAGCUUGCUCCGCUGACGAGUGGCGAACGGGUGAGUAAUGCGUCGGAACGUGCCGAGUAGUGGGGGAUAACGCAUCGAAAGGUGAGCUAAUACCGCAUACGUACUGAGGUAGAAAGUGGGGGACCUUCGGGCCUCACGCUAUUCGAGCGGCCGACGUCUGAUUAGCUAGUUGGUGAGGUAAAGGCUCACCAAGGCGACGAUCAGUAGCGGGUCUGAGAGGAUGAUCCGCCACACGGGGACUGAGACACGGCCCAGACUCCUACGGGAGGCAGCAGUGGGGAAUUUUGGACAAUGGGCGCAAGCCUGAUCCAGCCAUGCCGCGUGUCUGAAGAAGGCCUUCGGGUUGUAAAGGACUUUUGUCCGGGAGCAAAUGCUGGUGGCUAACAUCCACCGGAGCUGAGAGUACCGGAAGAAUAAGCACCGGCUAACUACGUGCCAGCAGCCGCCGUAAAAC